rnacentral:rRNA from 1 species
UACGGAGGAUGCAAGCGUUAUCCGGAAUGAUUGGGCGUAAAGCGUCCGCAGGUGGCACCUCAAGUCUGCUGUCAAAGACCGGGGCUUAACCCCAGAAAGGCAGUGGAAACUGAAGUGCUAGAGUGCAGUAGGGGUAGAGGGAAUUCCCGGUGUAGCGGUGAAAUGCGUAGAGAUGUGGGGGAACACCAGUGGCGAAGGCGGCUCUUUGGUCUGUAACUGACGCUGAGGCGCGAAAGCGUGGGGAGCGAACAGG